GAACGCACAUUGCGCCCCUUGGUAUUCCAUGGGGCAUUCCUGUUCGAGCGUCCUUUGUACCCUCAAGCUCUGCUUGGUGUUGGGUGUUUGUCCUCUCCCUGGUGUUAGGACUCGCCUUAAAGCAAUUGGCAGCCAGUGUUUUGGUAUUGAAGCGCAGCACAUUUUGCGAUUCUAGCCCAUGAAUACUAGCGACCACUAAGCCCAUUUUUAACUUUUGACCUCGGAUCAGGUAGGGAUACCCGCUGAACUUAAG
rnacentral:misc_RNA from 1 species